GACGAACGCUGGCGGCGUGCUUAACACAUGCAAGUCGUACGGUAAGGCCCUUUCGGGGGUACACGAGUGGCGAACGGGUGCGUAACACGUGAGUAACCUGCCCACAACUUUGGGAUAACGCUAGGAAACUGGUGCUAAUACUGGAUAUGUGCUCCUGCUGCAUGGUGGGGGUUGGAAAGCUCCGGCGGUUGUGGAUGGACUCGCGGCCUAUCAGCUUGUUGGUGGGGUAGUGGCCUACCAAGGCGGCGACGGGUAGCCGGCCUGAGAGGGUGACCGGCCACAUUGGGACUUAGAUACGGCCCCGACGCCUACGGUUGGCAGCAGUGGGGAAUAUUGCACCAUGGGCGCCAGCCUGAUGCAGCAACGCCUCGUGCGGGAUGACGGCCUUCUGGUUGUAAACCGCUUUCAGCAGGGACGAAGCUUUUUGUGACGGUACCUGCAGAAGAAGCACCGGCUAACUACGUG
rnacentral:rRNA from 1 species